rnacentral:rRNA from 1 species
GGACGAACGCUGGCGGCGUGCCUAACACGAUGCAAGUCGAACGGACGAGAGGAGCGUUGACUCCUCAAGUUAGUGGCGGACGGGUGAGUAACACGUGAGCAACCUGCCCUUCGAGGGGGACAACAGCUGGAAACGGCUGCUAAUACCGGCAUGAUACAGGUCUGGAGGCAUCUCCGGGCUGUCAAAGAUUUUAUCGCCGAAGGAUGGGCUCGACGUCUGAUUAGAUAGUUGGUGGGGUAACGGCUCACCAAGUCGACGAUCAGUAGCCGGACUGAGAGGUUGAACGGCCACAUUGGGACUGAGAUACGGCCCAGACUCCUACGGGAGGCAGCAGUGGGGAAUAUUGGGCAAUGGGGGGCAACCCUGACCCAGCAACGCCGCGUGGAGGAAGAAGGCUUUCGGGUUGUAAACUCCUUUGACGAGGGACGAUAGUGACGGUACCUCGAAAACAAGCCACGGCUAACUACGUGCCAGCCGCCGC